rnacentral:lncRNA from 1 species
UCAAAGAAAAAGACGAUGACUUUGAAGUCUACAAGUCAUAUUUCUGUGAACGAGUGAACUGGCAACAUGUCGAGCCCGUAAGUAACUAGGUUUUUCCUAUAGAAAUUAUAGCAAGUCACAGUAAAAUCUUGAACCCAUAACAACAACAACAACAGCAGCUGGAUCAAUUGGUUCUUCGGAAUCAAGGGCAACGAGUUCCUCUGCCACGUGCCCACCAACUACUUUCAGGACACGUUCAACCAGAUGGGCCUGGAGUACUUCAGCCAGCACUGGACGUGAUCCUGAAGCCGGCGUUCGACAGUUCCUCGGGCUUGUUCUACGACGAUGAGAAAAAGUGGUACGGCAUGAUUCACGCCCGAUACAUCAGGUCGGAGCGUGGCGUGAAUGAUAUGCACCGAAACUAUAUGAGAGGAGACUUUGAAUCGUGUCCGAAUAUCUCCUGUAAUAGGAAGAACACCCUGCCAGUGGGCCUCAGCGAUGUGCGGGGCAAGUCAACGGUGAAGAUCUACUGCCCACGCUGUAAAAACUACUUCCAUCCUAAAACUGAUACACAGCCAUGUUCGAGCCCAGCUUCCCGGACAUCUUCUUAACGCAGCUGCCGAACUUGAGACCGCCCCUGGGCGACCCACGGUAAGUAAUUCUCCGAAUAUAGUCCUGGUUGUUUUCUAAACAAAGCGCUUGAACUUGCAGUCCCUAUGCUUUCGGGUUGCACCAGAAGGCCUUGAUGCCACUUAAAUCGCCCAAGUCACCAAAGAAUAUCGAAUCCUCGGUCAGCUAGUCCUCCUCCUCGCUCCGGCAUUCCGAAGUCAAGCGCUUCAAUGUUCUAGGGAUGACGUGAUUUUUUAACUCCACACAAAAGAAAGCAGAAAUGUUUGUACGAUAUAUUGUUGUUGCAAUUAAACAGAUUCCGCAGUGCGUUGAUAUGGCCAGCUAUCACCUACUAAUACACCUCAUACACCUCUCCUCUAAAUACUUGGUUCAAAGUGUUCGGUCCAAGCUGGUCAUAUCAAGCACUCAUUCGAGUAGCAAAGCAUACUUUUCGUUAAACGUGGUAAUCACCUGGGUAUAAUAAUAAUAUUAUUCAAUAAAAUAUUCAAUUCAGUUUUUUAUUUAAUUUUAUGUUAAAAGAGUUUCCAAAAGUGUUUUCCUGACUACAUCAAAUAUUUUUUGAUAAUUUAAUUUCUUUAAAU